rnacentral:rRNA from 1 species
AUUGAACGCUGGCGGCAGGCCUAACACAUGCAAGUCGAGCGGCAGCGGGAAAGUAGCUUGCUACUUUUGCCGGCGAGCGGCGGACGGGUGAGUAAUGCCUGGGAAAUUGCCCAGUCGAGGGGGAUAACAGUUGGAAACGACUGCUAAUACCGCAUACGCCCUACGGGGGAAAGCAGGGGACCUUCGGGCCUUGCGCGAUUGGAUAUGCCCAGGUGGGAUUAGCUAGUUGGUGAGGUAAUGGCUCACCAAGGCGACGAUCCCUAGCUGGUCUGAGAGGAUGAUCAGCCACACUGGAACUGAGACACGGGCCAGACUCCUACGGGAGGCAGCAGUGGGGAAUAUUGCACAAUGGGGGAAACCCUGAUGCAGCCAUGCCGCGUGUGUGAAGAAGGCCUUCGGGUUGUAAAGCACUUUCAGCGAGGAGGAAAGGUUGAUGCCUAAUACGUAUCAACUGUGACAUUACUCGCAGAAGAAGCACCGGCUAACUCCGUGCCAGCCGCCGCAGUAAUAC